rnacentral:lncRNA from 1 species
AAUAUCUCUUCAAUUAUGUUAGGGUUGAACUGGCUAUUUGUAUGCAUAACUUAUAUAAUAUACUGGGGAAGCUAUGCUAAGUACAUAAACUACGGGUAAAGCAACAGUUGAAGACAAGAAGAACUACAACCGGCAACAGGAAGUGCGUCACGACGCUGGGACCUGCCUGCACGCCGACGUUAGGAGGAGCAAGUUUAAACCACGCUCAUCCUCCCUCUGACAGGCCAGCAUUGAGCGGGAACUAUCUCUGUCAGUAUAAAAGAGAGAACAAUAGGAUGUGUCGCUCUCUUCUCUGUUUGCCCUGCGAGGAGCAGAUUAUCCCGAGACUCCCGAC